rnacentral:misc_RNA from 1 species
AACUUUUAACAACGGAUCACUUGGCUCUCGCAUCGAUGAAGAACGCAGUGAAAUGCGAUAAGUAAUGUGAAUUGCAGAAUUCAGUGAAUCAUUGAAUCUUUGAAUGCACCUUGCGCUCCUUGGUAUUCCGAGGAGCAUGCCUGUUUGAGUGUCAUUAAAUUCUCAACCUUCCAGCUUUUAUUAGCUUGGUUAGGCUUGGAUGUGGGGGUUGUGGGCUUCAUUAAUGAGGUCAGCUCUCCUUAAAUUCAUUAGCGAAACUUUUGUGGACCGUCUAUUGGUGUGAUAAUUAUCUACGCCGUGGAUGUGAAGCAGCUUUAUGAAGUUCAGCUUCUAAUCGUCCAUUGACUUGGACAAUUUUUGACAAUUUGACCUCAAAUCAGGUAGGACUACCCGCUGAACUUAAGCAUAUCAAUAAGCGGAGGCCU